UACGUAGGUGGCAAGCGUUGUCCGGAUUUACUGGGCGUAAAGAGCGCGCAGGCGGUCGUUCAAGUCGCGUGUGAAAGCCCCUGGCUCAACUGGGGAGGGUCACGCGAUACUGUUCGACUUGAAGGCAGGAGAGGGAAGUGGAAUUCCCGGUGUAGUGGUGAAAUGCGUAGAUAUCGGGAGGAACACCAGUGGUGAAGGCGACUUCCUGGCCUGUUCUUGACGCUGAGGCGCGAAAGCUAGGGUAGCAAACGGG
rnacentral:rRNA from 1 species